UAGACUUUCCAUCACCACCAGUGAAUUCCGAGUGACAGUAGUAUGGAAUUUGGAAGAAUGGAAGAGAAACUUAAGUAGAGAGAUGGUGAAAGAGAAGAAAAAAUGAAGAAAGAUGCUUGCAAAAAUACUGCCAUGGGUCCUGAGAUGAAGAUUCUGGGAUGGUGGAUUCAAAACUGGCUAAGUGAACUUUAUCCAAAGGUGCUGCCUACGGGGCUACAGACCAUCCUGGAGGGGAUGGUCAAGGGGGAGCAGGAUCAUCUUAGACCAUGAGGGAGGAUGAGCUGGAAGAACGAAGAGAGAAGUGGCCUGAUGAGGAGGUGGAGGUGUGAGAAGUGACGAAGAGUCUGUGAGGAGAAUGAGGAAGGGCAACCAGAAAAAUCAAGAAAAAUUAGGAGACAGAUCUAGAAGCCAAGAAGAUGGUGGUGAACUAAUAAGUGAUGGGAGCAGUGAAGGAAAAAAAAAAACCAACUCGGAGUAUGUUUAUAUUGGUGGCAAAGAGUUAGCUUUCAAGUGCCUUGUUAGCACACCUGUGAUCUGACUAAGUUACAUCAGUGGGAGGCAGAGGAUGAAAGGAUGCCGGCCUCUGAGACCGACUUCAGUUCUUUGAGUGUUUGAGAAACACUUCAAGUCUUAGCCAAUGGCUUUGGUCAUGUUGAGGAUGAUGCCCUGAGGGCUUUCACCACAGAGACAAGCCGACUUGUUCAAAUCCAUUCUGAAAUAGUAAAACACAGGCAAAGGUAAAACAUGCAGAACUACUGCACCAUGAUAAAAACAUGUACUCUGUCACAUCUAAUGGCUUCAGGCACCCCUUGAACUUUUGAGUUAGCAAAAACGGGCAA